rnacentral:rRNA from 1 species
CAGGGAAGGCGCGGCGUAAUUAUCUCGAGUCGCUGGCGGUAGGCGAAGGACGGAGGGGGAGGGGAGGUCGAGGUCAGGUUAGAGUGGAGUGGAAGAAGGAUGGGUAAAGGUCGGCGGCGGCUCCAAGUACCUCGCUGCCUCCGCCCAGCGGCACGACCGGGACCACGAGGACGACGAGAGCCGAACAGUACCGUCUUCUCUCAAGAGACAGUUCUUAGUACUAGUCUCAGAAUAUAUACUAGUAUGAGAACGAUUCUGGUAGCACCUCAUACGAAGUCGACACAUAUACUGUCUAAAUUGUCGAAACAUAUGUACCUGUACGAGUUCUACGUUACUGAACUGAGUUCUGAAGCUCUACUCCAGAGAUUAACAACUACACCUCUUGACGAACGUCCGUAAACAGCCACAUCUAGUGUUAGAUUUACGGUAUUAUCAACGUUAGUCUCCCUGAGUUCUCUUGUCACACGUCUUAACCUAGUUCCUGAACCAUACCUUCGUCGAACUAGAUUCGAUAGGUCUGUACGGUUUACGUUUCCACGUGUCACCUAAAAAGAGGAGGAUAUUAUUAUGUUAAAACGCAGAUCGAUAGUGUUCACGACACGUGUUCCGUUCUUUCUGUAUACCCCUAUAGCCGCAGUAUCAGUGUCCCGUGAGUUACCCUCCUCGAUACCGACGGAAGACACGUGAGCUAGAACGAUAGUUCGAGCCUUCGCUGUUACAAGUUGAGUACUGAAAGCCUGUCGGAGCACAACCGUUACGACAAAAGCGGAGGAUGAAACGGUUUAUACAUGGUUUGUGUUAAGCUGACCAUGUGCCUGUACUAUAACACGGCGUAAACGGUGGAAUAAAGAGGAAAGAAAGGUUUGACUGCAUGGUGGUGAAGGGUUCUCUCCAUACCUAGCUGCUUAGACUACCGUUGUGUUGCCUUGUCUAUACACUACGGUCGCCGCUUCUGGGUUUGACGACGUCCACGGAGAGGUAUAACUCGGACUCGUAAGUCCUGGUAAAGUGUAUGGACCCUCAUCUGUACCUUAGUCUACUGACCUCGUGGACGUCUUAGUAGUGUCGUGUUUCGCAACUCGCUAAUGCAUUCGUAGAGUCGUCGUUGUAGUAGUACUGUUUCGUGCGGUAGCUCCAGAGGUAACAGCUCUUAUCGUACGUCUGUCUGACCUCGUCAAGGUCUAUCGUAUGUCGUAGAACAAUUGUGGUUAAAUCACGUCUUCUACCGCGGAAAAGAAAGAGAACUUCUUCCCCCCGAAGUCAACCCCUUAAAGUAAGUCUAACCCAACAUGUAACAAGAAAGUAUCGGACACUUAUACAUCCUUACAUCUGUGCUUAAUAUCCGAGAUCUCACAUUUGAGAACAGCCUACGUGCUUUCUAGGCAGAGACACAAACGUAGAACAUUUUUUAUGUUAUCGGUACGUCUAUAGAUAUGUCUACAGCGCUUAGACCCUUUAUUUCGUCUUAUUUA